UACGAAGGGGGCUAGCGUUGCUCGGAAUCACUGGGCGUAAAGGGCGCGUAGGCGGAUCUUUAAGUCGGGGGUGAAAGCCCGGGGCUCAACUCCGGAAUUGCCUUUAAGACUGCAUCGCUAGAAUUGUGGAGAGGUAAGUGGAAUUCCGAGUGUAGAGGUGAAAUUCGUAGAUAUUCGGAAGAACACCAGUGGCGAAGGCGACUUACUGGACACAUAUUGACGCUGAGGUGCGAAAGCGUGGGGAGCAAACAGG
rnacentral:rRNA from 1 species